GCAUAUCAAUAAGCGGAGGAAAAGAAACUAACAAGGAUGCGCUUAGUAACGGCGAGCGAACCGCGCAAAGCCCAACUUGAAAAUCUCCCUCGGAGAAUUGUAGUCUAUAGAAGUACCCUCUGCAACGGGCUGAGCUAAAGUCUCCUGGAAAGUGGCGUCAGAGAGGGUGAGAACCCCGUCGGCUCUCGGCUUAGCUGCUCCACGAGGUGCUUUCCACGAGUCGAGUUGUUUGGGAAU
rnacentral:rRNA from 1 species